rnacentral:lncRNA from 1 species
AUGGCCAAUUACAACCCUAGGCUCCAAAACAGGAGACCCUGUGGACCGGUACCUGAUAGGUAUCAGGUCACCUGGAUGGAGUGCAAUGCACUUCACCAGGAAAUCGGGAGGCUUAAUUACCUGUUCACUAAAGAAAGAAACUGGAGGAUCCACCUUGGCGAAGAGUUGGAGGACACAAGAAAACAACUGACCAAACAGAAGACCCUGAAAGAAAUGUACAUCAACAGGGAAAAAGAAACACGUAAAGAGCUGGAGAGGCUGCAGAAAUACAGCGAUGCAGAAGCCCUCAGCGCCUCAAACAUCGCCACCCAAGUGAGAAAUAAUAUCAAGAGAAAGGAGAAGAAACUGCUUCAGCAAGAUUAUGAGGAGCUGCAAGUGGCACAUAUCAUCAGCCAAGAGAAGUUUGAAGCUGAGCUCCAGGUGGAGAAGGAGAAGAACAAGGUUCUCCAAGAAGAACUGGAGAGGAUCAGAGCUUCAUACCAUGAGGUCAAACUGAGGUAUGAAACUGAUGUUCUCACAGCCAGGCAGCAGGCUGACAACCUUCAGCGGGAGCUUGAGGAGGCACACAAGUCCCAUGCUGACAGGCAGACACAGGACCUGCACCUGAUCAACACCUUGAAGGCUGAGCAGGACACCCUUCGUCUAAAGAUGGCAGAGGAGAUCGAAACCCUCCAGGAAAACCACAGUCAGAAAGUGUGGCACUUUCAGAGAAAGGUGGUGCAGCUGAAAACUCGACUCCACCUUCAAACAUCACUCAACCAGAAACUCUUUAAUGAGCUGAAGAAGGCUGAGGAGAAUGAGGAGGCUGAGGACAAGCCUGAGAAGGCUGACGAGAAGCCUGAGAAGGCUGACGAGAAGCCUGAGAAGGCUGACGAGAAGCCUGAGAAGGCUGAGGACAAGCCUGAGAAGGCUGAGGACAAGCCUGAGAAGGCUGACCAGAAGCCUGAGAAGGCUGACCAGAAGCCUGAGAAGGCUGAGGAGGAGGAGGCUGAGGAGAAGCCUGAGAAGGCUGAGGAGGAGGAGGCUGAGGAGAAGCCUGAGGAGGAGGAGGAGGAGGCUGAGGAGAAGCCU